ACCUAGCCCUGACAGCAGUGGAAAGCCUAUGCAGGCGUGAAACCGCUUUUUUCUAGUGGAGGCUGAGCGACCAAAGGAAGCUCCUGCCAGCGCUUAGAAAAAGGGUUUGAAGCCAAAUAGCUUGUAGCGAAUGGCGGGAAUAGCU
rnacentral:sRNA from 1 species